rnacentral:rRNA from 1 species
GACGAACGCUGGCGGCGUGCCUAAUACAUGCAAGUAGAACGCAGUUGCGAACGGGUGAGUAACGCGUAGGUAACUGCCUCAUAGCGGGGGAUAACUAUUGGAAACGAUAGCUAAUACCGCAUACUGUGAGAUGGACCUGCGUUGUAUUUGCUAGUUGGUGAGGUAAAGGCUUACCAAGGCGACGAUACAUAGCCGACCUGAGAGGGUGAACGGCCCACAUGGGAAUGGGACACGGCCCAGAAUCCUACGGGAGGCAGCAGUAGGGAAUUUUCGGAAAUGGACGGAAGUCUGACCGAACAAAGGCGCGUGAGUGAAGAAGGUCUUCGGAUCGUAAAGCUCUGUUCUGAGAGGAGCGGUAACUAACCAGAAAGGGCCGGCUAACUACGUGCCAGCAGCCGCGGUAAUAC